rnacentral:tRNA from 1 species
GGAAUACAGCUCAGCGGUAGAGCACUUGCCUAGCAUACAUGAGGCCCUGAGUUCAAUCAUCAGCACCA